CCUACGGGGGGCAGCAGUGAGGAAUAUUGAUCAAUGGGCGUAAGCCUGAACCAGCCAAGUCGCGUGAGGGAUGAAGGUUCUAUGGAUCGUAAACCUCUUUUAUAAGGGAAUAAAGUGUGGGACGUGUCCUGUUUUGUAUGUACCUUAUGAAUAAGGAUCGGCUAACUCCGUGCCAGCAGCCGCGGUAAUACGGAGGAUCCGAGCGUUAUCCGGAUUUAUUGGGUUUAAAGGGUGCGUAGGCGGCCUUUUAAGUCAGCGGUGAAAGUCUGUGGCUCAACCAUAGAAUGGCCGUUGAAACUGGGAGGCUUGAGUAUGUUUGAGGCAGGCGGAAUGCGUGGUGUAGCGGUGAAAUGCUUAGAUAUCACGCAGAACCCCGAUUGCGAAGGCAGCCUGCCAAGCCAUGACUGACGCUGAUGCACGAAAGCGUGGGGAUCAAACAGGAUUAGAUACCCCAGUAGUC
rnacentral:rRNA from 1 species